UACUCUGUAGCUCAGCUGGUAAAGCGUUUGUCUAUGGUGAUGAGGGGUGUCAGGUUCGAUUCCUCUCAGGGCCC